GGUUGUAUAGUGUAGCGGUUAUCACCCCAGAUUCUGAUUUCUUUCUAGAGAGAAGUUUAUCUUCUGGUGACCCCGGUUCGAUUCCGGGUACGACCU